rnacentral:rRNA from 1 species
GAUCAUGGCUCAGAAUGAACGCUAGCGACAGGCUUAACACAUGCAAGUCGAGGGGCAGCACAGGGUAGCAAUACUUGGGUGGCGACCGGCGCACGGGUGAGUAACGCGUAUGCAACUUACCUAUCAGAGGGGGAUAGCCAGGCGAAAGUCGGAUUAAUACCCCAUGAAACAGGGGUCCCGCAUGGGAAUAUUUGUUAAAGAUUCAUCGCUGAUAGAUAGGCAUGCGUUCCA